rnacentral:rRNA from 1 species
AACGAACGCUGGCGGCGUGCCUAACACAUGCAAGUCGAACGUGAUUGGAAGCUUGCUUCCAUGAAAGUGGCGCACGGGUGAGUAACGCGUAGAUAAUCUACCUGAUGAUCCGGGAUAACACUUCGAAAGGGGUGCUAAUACCUGAUAAGCCCACGGAGUCCUUGGACUCUGCGGGAAAAGGGGGGGAUCGCAAGACCUUCCGUCAUCAGAUGAGUCUGCGUACCAUUAGCUAGUUGGUAGGGUAAAGGCCUACCAAGGCGACGAUGGUUAGCUGGUCUGAGAGGAUGAUCAGCCACACUGGAACUGAGACACGGUCCAGACUCCUACGGGAGGCAGCAGUGGGGAAUUUUGCGCAAUGGGGGAAACCCUGACGCAGCAACGCCGCGUGAGUGAUGAAGGCCCUUGGGUCGUAAAGCUCUGACAGAGGGAAAGAAAUGCAGAGUGGCUAAUAUCCACCUUGCUUGACGGUACCCCCAAAGGAAGCACCGGCUAACUCCGUGCCAGCAGCCGCCGCCGUAA